AUUGAACGCUGGCGGCAUGCUUUACACAUGCAAGUCGAACGGUAACAGGUUAAGCUGACGAGUGGCGUACGGGUGAGUAAUGCAUCGGAACGUGCCCGAUCGUGGGGGAUAACGCAGCGAAAGCUGCGCUAAUACCGCAUACGAUCUGAGGAUGACAGCGGGGGACCGUAAGGCCUCGCGCGAUCGGAGCGGCCGAUGGCAGAUUAGGUAGUUGGUGGGGUAAAGGCUCACCAAGCCAACGAUCUGUAGCUGGUCUUAGAGGACGACCAGCCAGACUGUGGCUGAUACACUGGCCAGGCUUCGACGGGAGGCAUCAGUGGGGAAUUUUGGACAAUGGGCGAAAGCCUGAUCCAGCAAUGGCGCGUGCAGGAAGAAGGCCUUCGGGUUGUAAACUGCUUUUGUACGGAGCGAAAAGGCUCUCUCGAAUACGUGGGGCUCAUGACGGUACCGUAAGAAUAAGCACCGGCUAACUACGUGCCAGCCGCCGCGGUAA
rnacentral:rRNA from 1 species